rnacentral:rRNA from 1 species
ACGACGGGUAGCCGGCCUGAGAGGGUGACCGGCCACACUGGGACUGAGACACGGCCCAGACUCUACGGGAGGCAGCAGUGGGGAAUAUUGCACAAUGGGCGAAAGCCUGAUGCAGCGACGCCGCGUGAGGGAUGACGGCCUUCGGGUUGUAAACCUCUUUCAGCACGGAAGAAGCGAAAGUGACGGUACGUGCAGAAGAAGCGCCGGCUAACUACGUGCCAGCAGCCGCGGUAAUACGUAGGGCGCAAGCGUUGUCCGGAAUUAUUGGGCGUAAAGAGCUCGUAGGCGGUUUGUCGCGUCUGCUGUGAAAGCCCGGGGCUUAACCCCGUGGUGUGCAGUGGGUACGGGCAGACUAGAGUGCAGUAGGGGAGACUGGAAUUCCUGGUGUAGCGGUGAAAUGCGCAGAUAUCAGGAGGAACACCGAUGGCGAAGGCAGGUCUCUGGGCUGUUACUGACGCUGAGGAGCGAAAGCAUGGGGAGCGAACAGGAUUAGAUACCCUGGUAGUCCAUGCCGUAAACGUUGGGCACUAGGUGUGGGGGACAUUCCACGUUUUCCGCGCCGUAGCUAACGCAUUAAGUGCCCCGCCUGGGGAGUACGGCCGCAAGGCUAAAACUCAAAGGAAUUGACGGGGGCCCGCACAAGCGGCGGAGCAUGCGGAUUAAUUCGAUGCAACGCGAAGAACCUUACCAAGGCUUGACAUACACCAGACCGGCCCAGAGAUGGGUUUUCCUCUUUGAGGUUGGUGUACAGGUGGUGCAUGGUUGUCGUCAGCUCGUGUCGUGAGAUGUUGGGUUAAGUCCCGCAACGAGCGCAACCCUCGUUCUAUGUUGCCAGCACGUGAUGGUGGGGACUCAUAGGAGACUGCCGGGGUCAACUCGGAGGAAGGUGGGGAUGACGUCAAAUCAUCAUGCCCCUUAUGUCUUGGGCUUCACGCAUGCUACAAUGGCCGGUACAAUGGGUUGCGAUACCGUGAGGUGGAGCUAAUCCCAAAAAGCUGGUCUCAGUUCGGAUCGUGGUCUGCAACUCGACCACGUGAAGUCGGAGUCGCUAGUAAUCGCAGAUCAGCAACGCUGCGGUGAAUACGUUCCCGGGCCUUGUACACACCGCCCGUCAAGUCACGAAAGUUGGUAACACCCGAAGCCGGUGGCCUAACCCUUGUGGGGGGAGCCGUCGAAGGUGGGACUGGCGAUUGGGACUAAGUCGUAACA